rnacentral:rRNA from 1 species
AGAGUUUGAUCAUGGCUCAGGAUGAACGCUGGCGGCGUGCUUAACACAUGCAAGUCAAGGGGGCUCAGCAAUGGGCAACCGGCGAACGGGUGCGUAACACGUGAGCAACCUACCGAAUUGUGGGGGAUAGCCGGCCCAACGGCCGGGUAAUACCGCAUACGAUCGAGACGAGGCAUUUCGACUCGAUGAAAUCUACGGAGCAAUUCGAGGGGCUCGCGGCCUAUCAGCUAGUUGGUGAGGUAACGGCUCACCAAGGCGACGACGGGUAGCUGGUCUGAGAGGAUGGCCAGCCACAUUGGGGCUGAGAGACGGCCCAGACUCCUACGGGAGGCAGCAGUGGGGAAUCUUGCGCAAUGGGAGCAAUCCUGACGCAGCGACGCCGCGUGGGGGAGGAAGGGCUUCGGCUCGUAAACCCCUGUUGCCCGGGGCGAACCUCUGGUUUCGACCAGACUGACGGUACCGGGUGAGGAAGCACCGGCUAACUCCGUGCCAGCCGCCGCGGUAAUAC